rnacentral:rRNA from 1 species
GAACGCUGGCGGCGUGCUUAAUACAUGCAAGUCGAACGGGAACCCUUGGAUUCGUCUGGGGGGGAGAGUGGCGAACUGGUGAGUAACACGUAGGUGACCUGCCCCGAAGACGGGGAUAACCAUUGGAAACGGUGGCUAAUACCCGAUAUGCUCGGUAAUUCGUUUUACCGUGUAAAGCUCCGGCGCUUCGGGAUGGACCUGCGGCCUAUCAGCUAGUUGGUAGGGUAAUGGCCUACCAAGGCGAAGACGGGUAGGGGGCGUGAGAGCGCGGUCCCCCACACUGGCACUGAGACACGGGCCAGACUCCUACGGGAGGCAGCAGUCGGGGAUAUUGCACAAUCAGCGAAAGCUGGAUGCAGCGACGCCGCGUGGGCGAUGAAGGCCUUCGGGUUGUAAAGCCCUUUUCUGGGGGAAGAGACAAGGACGGUACCCCAGGAAUAAGUCCCGGCUAACUACGUGCCAGCAGCCGCGGUAAAACGUAGGGGACAAGCGUUAUCCGGAUUUACUGGGCGUAAAGUGCGUUGAGGCGGUUCCGUAAGUUGGACGUGAAAGCCCCGGGCUCAACUCGGGGAGGUCGUUCAAUACUGCGGGACUUGAGGACAGCAGAGGGAGGUGGAAUUCCAGGUGUAGCGGUGAAAUGCGUAGAGAUCUGGAGGAACACCAGUGGCGAAGGCGGCCUCCUGGGCUGUUCCUGACGCUGAAGGCGAAAGCUAGGGUAGCAAACGGGAUUAGAGACCCCGGUAGUCCUAGCCGUAAACGAUGGAUG